rnacentral:rRNA from 1 species
AUUGAACGCUGGCGGCAUGCUUUACACAUGCAAGUCGAACGGUAACAGGGUGCUUGCACCGCUGACGAGUGGCGAACGGGUGAGUAAUGCGUCGGAACGUGCCGAGGAGUGGGGGAUAACGCAGCGAAAGUUGUGCUAAUACCGCAUACGUACUGAGGUAGAAAGUGGGGGACCUUCGGGCCUCACGCCAUUCGAGCGGCCGACGUCUGAUUAGCUAGUAGGUGAGGUAAAGGCUCACCUAGGCGACGAUCAGUAGCGGGGCUGCGAGGAGGAUCCGCCGCACUGGGACUGAGACACGGCCCAGGCUCCUACGGGAGGCAGCAGUGGGGAAUUUUGGACAAUGGGCGAAAGCCUGAGCCAGCCCUGCCGCGUGUCUGAAGAAGGCCUUCGGGUUGUAAAGGACUUUUGUCGGGGAGGAAAUCCCCAGCGUUAAUACCGCUGGGGGAUGACAGUACCUGAAGAAUAAGCACCGGCUAACUACGUGCCAUCCGUCGCAGUAAUAC